GUUUCCAUGGUGUUAUGGUUAGGACUCUGGACUCUAAAUCCAGCGAUUUGAGUUCAGGUCUCGGUGGGAUA
rnacentral:tRNA from 1 species